GUUCCCCGAAGGAAAGUCCCAGUUGCCCGCCACCAGCCCCACCUCCAGGAGCGGCGGAGAAGCAGAGACUUUCCAGUCGAGCCGACCUAAACCUUCCUGGCUUUGCUCCUAGCUCGCUGUGUGACUUUGUUGAUGCCCUGGUGGAGCGGAAGCGGGGUCAAUACCUCCACUGGCCAGCAGAGGACAGGCGAUGACCAGCCUUCUCGCCCAGUUGCGCAUCCUCUCCGCCGGCAGGCGCCACGAGGGAAACAGGACGGGAUACAACUGCAGAAGCAACAAGUGAACCUUUAAAGAUGCAUAUGGGGCUGCACAAAGAGAAGAGAGGAACUGGAGAAACCAAGGAAGUAAGGAAAAAGUUUAAUAGGGAAAACUUGCUUUCUGCAAACAACUGAAAAAGCCGCCCUUGGAAGCUGUUUCUUUGGGCCUCAUGGAGCAGCUGGAACCUGCGCUGUGAGGCCCCCGACAGGACGAACUGUCGCCCACUGACCCCCCAGCGCGGCUGUCACCAUGGCCAGCAAGAGGAAGUCCACCACCCCGUGCAUGAUCCCCGUGAAGACCGUGGUGCUGCAGGACACCGGCGCCGAGGCCCUGCCCGAGGAGCCCGUGCCCGCGGGGCCCCCGCAGGAGCCGCCCCCAGAAGCUCCCUCCGCCAGCGGCGAGGCCACCCAGGGCACCAGCGGUCCAGACAGUGCCGCACUGGCCAACGGGCACCGGAGCACCUUGGACGGCUACACAUAUGCCUGUAAAUGCUGUGACUUCAGAUCCCAGGACAUAACCCGGUUUGUGGGACACCUGAGCUCAGAGCACACAGACUUUAGCAAAGACCCGAACUUUGUAUGCACUGAAUGCAGUUUUCUGGCAAAAACUCCCGAGGGGCUUUCUCUGCACAAUGCCAAGUGUCACUCGGGGGAAGCCAGCUUUGUGUGGAAUGUGGCCAAGCCAGACAAUCAUGUCGUCGUGGAGCAGAGUGUCCCCGAGAGCACCAGCCCUCCCGAUCCAUCGGGGGAGCCAAACAUGGAAGGGACAGAUGGACAGGCGGAAAUCAUCAUCACCAAAACUCCAAUCAUGAAGAUAAUGAAAGGCAAAGCCGAAGCCAAAAAAAUUCACACGCUCAAGGAGAACGUCCCCAGUCAGCCUGCUGGGGAGGCCUUACCGACCCCUUCAGCCGGGGACACGGAGGUGAAAGAGGGGGACCACGCCUUUGUCAACGGGGCAGCCCCGGUCAGCCAGGCCUCUACCAACUCCGCAAAACCCCCUCACUCGGCCAACGGGCCCCUGCUGGGGACGGUGCCGGUGCUGCCCGCGGGCAUCGCCCAGUUCCUCUCCCUGCAGCAGCCGCCCCCGCACGCCCAGCACCACGCCCACCAGCCCCUGCCCACGGCCAAGUCCCUCCCCAAAGUGAUGAUCCCGCUGAGCAGCAUCCCCACGUACAACGCGGCCAUGGACUCCAACAGCUUUCUGAAGAACUCCUUCCACAAGUUCCCCUACCCAACCAAAGCCGAGCUCUGCUAUUUGACCGUGGUCACCAAGUACCCGGAAGAGCAGCUCAAGAUCUGGUUCACUGCCCAGAGGCUGAAGCAAGGUAUCAGCUGGUCCCCGGAGGAGAUUGAGGACGCCCGGAAGAAGAUGUUCAACACGGUCAUCCAGUCCGUCCCCCAGCCCACAAUCACUGUCCUCAACACCCCGCUGGUUGCCAGUGGCGGCAACGUCCAACAUCUCAUCCAGCCCACUCUGCCUGGCCACGUGGUGGGCCAGCCAGAGGGCACAGCCGGGGGACUUCUGGUCACUCAGCCACUGAUGGCCAAUGGGUUGCAGGCACCCAGCUCAUCUCUCCCCCUGGCAGUCACAUCUGUCCCCAAGCUGCCCGCUGUCGCGCCCAUUAACACCGUGUGUUCAAAUACAACGUCCGCCGUGAAGGUGGUGAAUGCCGCCCAGUCCCUCCUCACGGCGUGUCCCAGCAUCACCUCCCAAGCCUUCCUGGAUGCCAGCAUCUACAAAAACAAGAAAUCUCAUGAACAGCUGUCAGCUCUGAAAGGGAGCUUCUGUCGGAACCAGUUCCCAGGACAGAGCGAAGUUGAGCAUCUGACCAAAGUGACCGGCCUCAGCACCCGUGAGGUGCGGAAGUGGUUCAGUGACCGCAGGUACCACUGCCGAAACCUGAAGGGCUCCAGGGCCGGGCUGGCCGGGGAGCAUGGCGCCCUCCUCGUCGACUCUGUGCCCGAGGUGCCCUUCUCCCUGGCGUCCAAGGCCCCGGAGGUGACCUGCCUCCUGACAGCGGCCACCCCAGCUACCCCCCCUUCUGCCAAGCGACAGUCCUGGCACCAGACCCCCGACUUCACACCAACCAAAUACAAGGAGCGGGCCCCCGAGCAGCUCAGGGCCCUGGAGAACAGUUUUGCCCAAAACCCCCUUCCUCUCGACGAGGAACUGGACCGCCUGAGGACCGAGACCAAAAUGACCCGCAGGGAGAUUGAUGGCUGGUUUUCAGAGAGACGGAAAAAAGUGAGUGCCGAGGAGGCCAAGAAGGCUGAGGAGGGCGCCUCUCAGGGGGAGGAGGAGGCCGCCGAGGAUGAGGGGGAGGAGGGCUCUGCCAGGGACCCGAGGGUCCCAGGGGAAGAUGGCUCCCCAGAAACGCCCGGCAGCCACGUGCUGGCAGAACGCAAAGUCAGCCCCAUCAAAAUCAACCUCAAGAACCUGCGAGUCACGGAGGCCAACGGCAAGGGCGAGCUCCCGGGGCUGGGCGCCUGUGAGCCCGAGGACGACGUGCCCAGCAAGCCAGCGGAGCAGCUGCCAGGCAAGGUGAGCUACAGGAAGACGGCCCAGCAGCGGCACCUGCUGCGGCAGCUCUUCCUGCAGACGCAGUGGCCCAGCAACCAGGACUAUGACUCCAUCAUGGCCCAGACGGGCCUGCCGCGGCCCGAGGUGGUGCGCUGGUUUGGGGACAGCAGGUACGCCCUGAAGAACGGCCAGCUCAAGUGGUACGAAGACUACAGACGGGGCAACUUCCCCCCCGGACUGCUGGUCAUCAGCCCCGGCAACCGGGAGCUGCUGCAAGACUAUUACGUGACCCACAAGAUGCUGUACGAGCAGGACCUGCAGAGCCUCUGCGACAAAACCCAGAUGAGCGCCCAGCAGGUCAAGCAGUGGUUUGCCGAGAGGAUGGGUGAGGAGACCCGGGCCGUGGCCGACACGGGUGGUGAGGGCCAGGGCCCCAGCGACCCUGCAGCAGUUCACAAAGGGAUGGGCGACACCUAUUCAGAGGUGUCCGAAAACAGUGAGUCAUGGGAACCCGGUGCCCCUGAGGCCAGCUCAGAGCCCGUUGACACGCCGAGUCCCCAGGCUGGACCUCAGCUGGGUAAGGAGCCUGUGGGGCUGUGCCGUCCUCUGUGGGUCUGGGGGGCACCUGUGGCAGGCACCGAAUCCAGUGCCGGGGCAUCUGCUGUUUCUAAGGCUGUCUGGCAGCAGGACCGUGUUGUCUGGCUGCUUCGGGGGGCACCUGGCAGCAGAAUCCAUUGGAGCAUCAUCAUAUGAUAAAGGCUUGACACUUGGUUUUUUUGUUUCGUGUUUGUUAAACCUGCACAGGGGAAGGAGUGUAGUGAACCUCCAAGGGCCCACCCUUUUCUAGUCAUUUCUUAGCCAAAGGAGAAUAGGUCAGAAUGUCAUCUGAGCCAGAUAGAACCACGACCGCUGGGUAAGAGAGAGAAUAGGACUUACGAGGAAAUUCAACCCCAGUUGGUGAACAAAAGCAGAGGGAGCCUUUAAUUGACCUUAGAUACACAAAGUGCUUUUUUUUCUAAAUGAUGAAAAAUCCUGUAAUUUGCAUUGCAGUUAUUCUUCCUGAUAUAGAGGUAGUGGAAAAUCUUCUUCCCUCUUAGACAUAACAUGGAAUCGAAUGCUUGAAUUUUGUUCCUCAUUUUCUCUGGAUCAGGACAGUAGUACUUGAAAGAAAGCUUUAGAAGAUUAUUUUACUGAAGACAGUUUGAAGCCUCAGACAAAUCACGUUAUUGGGUGUUGAUUUUCUUGGGUCUUGAUCUCUGAGUUCCUGGCCUCUCCCUUCCCUCCCACCCUCCUCUUGGGUGGCCUUGUCACAGGUUGGCCAGGAGCGAGGUAGCUGAGCUCUUCACAGGAAGCUGUGGAAACCAAGGAAGUAUCUGGAUUCCCAGAUUCCCUGAUUUGGGACCUUUAGAAGGUGGUUCCAGGGCCGGCGUUUCUGGACUCGACCUUGUUUCCUCCAAGCCCCUAAACUGACUGAACCGGAACCGACGGCUGUGAAGGCCUGGCCGGGGCGGCCGCCCUCCACAUGGAAGGGCCUGACCCCCCUCUGCUGCCCCGGGCCGCCGCCGUACCCGGCCCGCCAUGCUCACACAGGUCUCCACGCGGCCAAGCCUGCCGCCGUCCGCACCCGGCCCGCCACCCCAGCGAGCAGGGAGGAGCGUCUGGCAGUUCUUCCGCCCACAAUGUAGGACCUUUCUUUUGCCUUCCAGUGGAUAAAUAGUUCAGAUUUCAUAUUCAUAGACACAGAAUCAAGUUUUUAACAUAUAAAUCUGCCUAUACACAUUUAAUAAAACAUCAGAUUAUAAACACUUUCAUUACAUAGAAACUUUGGUUAGCAAAGCAGUACGUGGUCUUUUAUAUCAUCUCUGGAAAUGCCCUGUGUCUGUUCUCUGGAGAUCGCUGGGCUGCGUGUUCCCGCACCUUCCAUGGUCAGGCCGGGGUUAUCACACGCUCAGAACCACACCUGCAACCGCUGGGGCCCCCUUUGCUCUCCUUCGGGAAGGUGGUACCUUUGAAGAGACCUCUGCUCCUUAAGCGGUGACCAGCAACAUUGCAUAGCAGGUUUGCCUUGCCUUACGGGAUGAUAGUGCAGAACAUGCUGUUACCCGCAGUUCAGAAAACUGACCGGUUAUGUGAUCAGUGUUUGAUGCUUACCACUCUCGAAAGUUGUUACAGUAAUUCUGCUUUUUCAUGGGAGUUUGAAUCAUGGACCAUAACUCUUCAGUGAUCAGAUCAACUAAAGAAACAUUUGUUGUUAAGCCUAAUGUACUGCCCUAUGUGCCGCCUUUUUUUUUUUUCAGUCUAGACACAUUUAGAGGAAAAUUGACAAGCGAAACAGGGAUGGGGGAUGGGAGUGAAGGCGCACAGCUGCUGGGGCUCUCUCUGCCCUCUAUCGACCCUCACCCCAGAGCCGCCUCUGGUUUGGGAAGGCAGGCCCACGCUCGCCUGGUUAGACUGAGAGCUGGCGGGAUUCGGGGACUUCUCGGAAUUAUCGGAGCCAGGGUGGCCCUCAGCACAAAGACCUGCAUGUGGGGUUCCCAGCAGAAGACCCAGAGUCCUCCUGGCCCCCGUGCCUGGGGCCUGGUUGGUGUGCUGGACAUCGCUGGACAGGUCCUUGUGAGGAUGUUUUUAAAGUUCUAUAUUUAUAUCCCCAGACUUGGAACCAAGAUCUCUGUCUACUUAAGCCUAACCCUCAUAUCCAUUUUUUUAAUUGAGAAAAGUCACAGGAAAAGGUGCCUUUGAAACAUUGAGAAAGUUGCCUACAAAGCUGUGCUGAACGGUAAAUCCCGAUCUCCCCGAGACCGGCUGCCCCGAGAGCAGCAGGUGAAGAGGGGGCUGGCAAAGGUGCAUCACCUCCCAGAAACCACCCGCUUCCCAGAGCACCAAGGCCUCGGAGACCCCAGAGACAGGGCAGGGGCUUUGGGCAAGAAUACUGGGGGGGGCGGUGUUCGGCACGGUCCUUCUCCCCCGUCCCCCCGGGAACUGGGCCGGGCAGGGCAUCUCCCAGGUUUGGCUCUGAGCACAGAGACGGGGGUCGCACCUCCUGCCUCCAGGAGAGGCUUUUUUUCGGAAACCAAAAGCCCUUGAACCAUUGUUCUUCUAAAGAGUCUCCUCUUGCUUGCCCUGUCCUGUUAGGGACCACCUCUUCUUGGUUUCAAACAGGUGACUUGUGAGGACUUGGCAAGUUUGGCAGCCUGUUUUUGUAUCCUUUCCAUAUUUAGCCCCAAGGCCUCUUUGUGGAAUUGCCCAGAAUGGCGAGUGAUUGCCUUCCUUCAGAGAACAGACACCUAGAACUUUUCCUGUAGUGGUUAUGUACAUGCAGAUUAAUUUGUAUGUAUCCAUAUACAGCACAGAUACUCGUUUGAUGCUUUACUUGUGACGCGUCUGCCUGACGCAGCACGUGGGUGUUGGGGAGAGCAGCCCGUGUCGGGGGGUUGCGGGGGAGGCCGGGGCGGUCCCGCGCGAAGCCACAUCCGAGUGUCUGUGACGCCACCCUGCCGGCGUCACUCCCAGAGCCCUGCGUGCCCCAGCCGAGGGCCGUGUCUUUACAGCGGAGUUUCUUGGUUAUUUUAUUUGUAUUCAUGUCAUUUACAACCCAAACAGCGAAACAGAAAACAUAAAUUACAUGGUGGACAAGUUCACGCAGGACGUAGGGCCCCGAGCUCAGCACCAGCUCGUCCUUAAGAAGUGGAAGCGUCACGGUGCUGCCUGCGGGCAGGUUUUGCUCACAGGAGUCAGCCUGCCCGCUAGCCAGGGCGACCCCCCGAACGGCGAGACUGCCCAGGCUGGACAGACCCUCCUCCUUCCUUUACUCUGGGACCCGAGUGACUAAGGAAUGAGGUGAUGGAGACAGAAAUGGUUGGUUCAUCGAGCAGGUGCCUAAAGGGACGUCGCAGCAGGUACCCAGGGCCCUGGGGGCAAAACCAGGAACACAGCCAACCGGCUGCAGAGACACGGCCGCAGCAGCCCGGAGCCGGCGCGCGCCAGAGUGCGGUGGGGAUGCAGGACGGCCGCAGCCGGCCCCGUGGCCAGGGAGGUCACCACGGUUCGCGCCCCACCCAGGGUUAGACUGUGCUGCUGCCUUCAGGAGAGGGCAGUCUGUGGGCUCUAGAGUUGAGGGAAGUAGGGUGGGGUUAGUCUCUCCCAAAGAAAAAGCUUGUUUCGUAAGGUGACUAAUCUUUCCCCUCUUCUCUGUAUGCACUUGGACUCAUCAGAGAUGGUGAACUAUGUCAGUGUUUCUUGUUGCCUGUGUCUUGUACAUGUUUGGUUUAUUGUAUUUUUUACAUGGGGUUGUAGAUGCAGUUUUAGUAGGUGAGCCCAGAUCACCAUUCUGACAAAGGAAACCUGGGUUUAUGGCACAGAUGCUCUGCGUACUUCGAUUACGUGUAUUAAUUCUUGACUGUUGACGAGCUUUGUGAUUUGGAAGGUGGGCUCUCGUUUUCCUGAGUCGUGGGCUCCUGAAGUGGAAAGCCUGGCUGGAGGACUCGUGGCACCUGGGGUGGGUGGCCCUGUACGACUUGGAGCUCCUUUCGCAGCCAAGUGCCCACCUGCUGUCGGGAAGCAAAGGUGGGAGGUGGGCGAGGGUCGGUGGUACCUGCAGGUCCCGAGUGCGCUCAUGGCCCUGGGAGGCCGUUCCACCGGGAAGUCUCAGCAUGUUCUCCAGGCCAAGAUGUGGGUGCCAUGGGUUUUGUCCUGCUCAGUCCGUGGUCCCAUGGCAGGGCCUGUGACACCCCCUCUCCCCCAUGUGCCAGGCUGCCUUCCACAGAGGCUCAGUGUCGCCCUUUUGGGGCACCUCCUCACCCACAGCUCCCUGCCUGUGCCGCCCUGCCUUGGGCCCGGUUGCCUCUUGUUUUCCUGUCCUCUUCUCGGACCAGAAUCCUCGGGUUGGAGCGGCUCUGUCUAUUCAAACAUCGCAGCCCAAGUGGAUAAAGGCACUUUGCAGGGGAGGAGAACCAGCCAAGAAGAAAAUCUUAAACAAACCAAACCUGGAGUUUGGGCUUUUCCUAAAGUUUCUUCCCCCUUUUUCCUUGCUCAGACUUUACCUGGGGCAGGUUAUUGGUUUGACUUACCUUUUGUAUUAUGUCUAGAUUGUCCUGUAUCCCAUUGAUUGGCAAGGCUCAGUUAUGUGCUGGAGAAGAAAAGUCCUCUAGACACGUAAAGGUCGGCGUGGCCAGCCGUUCCAGGCAGAAGCCGGCAGCCUGCCCAGGUCAGGAGAGUAACGGGGCUCCAUCCUCCCCACUCCCACUGGAGGCCCCUCUCCAGCUCUCCUGAACCGGCUUCCUUCGCUCCCUUUCUUGGGAGCACAGGCCCUCCCAGCCUUCCUGCCCGGGACUGGGGGGCCAUCUCCGUGUGACUGGGGGAGCACCUGCCCUCACAGAAGCUCCAACACCCGAAAAAGUGGGGAGUGUGGAGCCCACGCCCUCUCCUGAACGGGCCCCUCCCGGAGCAAGGCUUCAGUCUGUUUUGUCUCCUGUGGUCCAUUCACAGUAGCCGAGCCGAGCAACGCUGGGGCUGGGGCGGCUGCAGGCAACCUCUCAACGAAGGGUUGGAUGCUGACUUGGGCCGAGUGAGUGGAGGGUGGAGGUGGGAUCACAGAGCCGCUGGGCGGCCCAGCACUAGGUCUAGAUGGAACCCACAGACCUCGGUUGGAAUUCGUUUCUGCUGCAAUCUGUGUGUGUUCCCAGUGCUGUCGCGCUGGGGAGGGGGGCGAGGGCUGACGUCAGCUCCCCCUGGUUGGCCCAGAGCCCGAGUGGGAGGAGGAGCAGACGGAACCCCGCCGGGGGACGGGAGGCACGCUCUUUGGCUCUUCAACCCUGAAGAACCGUGACUUGCCUGUCAGUCUGGCCUCUCCUUUGCUUGGAGCCCCAGCCCUGCAGCCAGACUGGAGACCGACAGCCUGGACCCCGCGGGAACCAACCAUCCUACCUGAGCAGGGGUGGGGACCCAGAGUGUGGGGUGAGCAGGCGCCGCUGACCCUGUGGACAGGGGCGGGGCCAGCACCUGUUGCCUCGCGUUGUUAAAAUCCUGUCUUGUGGUUUGUGGGACCGUGAGGAUUCGCAGAGAACGCGUAGUUCCUGCUUUGCUGUCUUAGGCCCCAGGCUUUCACAGCCCUCAGGCUGCUCGGGCCAGAGCCCCACGGGGUGGAGCGGGCUGUCUCCCCUCCGGCUGCGGGAGUCUCUCCUGCUGUCCACUCGGGGCAGGUGGCAAGCGGCGACCUGAGAGGAGUCUGCGUGCUUACCUGCCGUGAGCGCCCUUUCCUGAAUUCAGGAGCCAGGCUCUGCCGCGUGUGUGUUGAUGAGUAGCUUUUCUCGGCUAAUGCUUUAUGACAUCUGUUCCUUCCCUUGAUGAGUGGUUUGAAGGCCCCCGAUGUGACUGGAGUCGGAGGUGGAAUGUCUCGGGUGGAGGCCGUCUGGAGUCGUGGAGCGCAGAAGGCUGCAGGCCCGUGGUCUUUCUCAGGAGUCAGCCGCAGAGCAGGCACCGGGAGAGGGGUGCCUGCUAAUCCUGUAAUUUGUGUUCAGAGAGAGACUGUCAUUCAUCCCUGGCUCCGGCCCGGCCCGCUGCCCUGUCCCGCGGUUUGCUGCAGACGUGGCCCGGAGAGCCAGCGCCACCCUCAGCGGAUGCAGCCUGGUCGGCAGGCCACUGGGUGAUGCGCGCGGGGAGGGGUGCUUGCCCCCGGGCAGCGGGUUCCCACCCUGCCCCCCAGCACCCCGCCUUGUUCAGUGCGUCGGGAGGGCCAGACUGUGCCAUCGUUGUUGUUGAAAAGAGACCUCGUCCUCCCCCAACCCCGCCCCCCUGACGUGGUUGACUGAAAGGGUACUGAGCGGCGCCGCCUUUGUGCAAGUCGGGAAGAGGUUGCCAGAGGCCUGCAGGUUCCUGGUUUUCUGCCACCCACUUCCGGUCUGGUGUUCAGCUCAGACCCUUUGUUCCCUGAGGGCGAGGGUAUCUGUGGAAGGGAGGCUGGAGAAGGCAGGGGCAGCUGGCUUGUGGUGCGCUUCCCGUCUCCCGGAGACGCCGAAGAAGCCAUCGUCUUGGUGCUAAGAGGCCACUGCCCGGCUUCUGUUUGUCCAGAGGGCCUCUCCUCCUGCAGUGGCUGCAUGUGAGAGACCAAACCGAGAGAGAGGCACAGGCACACUUUGGCUGUCACCGGGCCUGGGUGGAGGGGGCUCUUCGCCCUAGGGACAUGUUUUUAACAGAAAGAUGGAACUUGCCUUUGGACCGGGGCUGUGCCGGGGCGGGAGGAGUGCGCUGCCCUCUCCGGGCUGAGUCUCCAGGCCUCACAAGGUCCCCUGUGGGGAUGCUGCUAUUUCUAAGAUGCAAAUUGCACAUUUCCUAGAUUUUGUAUCUGUGGAUUUGGAUAAGGGAGGGGAACAGGGACAAACUGCUUGUACAAUUUGAAAUGGGCCGAAAUGGUACUGAAAAUCUUUCGAUUGCUCCUAAAUAAAAACGUAAACGCA